rnacentral:rRNA from 1 species
UUAUUGGAGAGUUUGAUCCUGGCUCAGGACGAACGCUGGCGGCGUGCCUAAUACAUGCAAGUCGAGCGGACUUGUG